rnacentral:rRNA from 1 species
GACGAACCGAGCGAACGUUAUUCGGAAUCACUGGGCUUAAAGGGCGCGUAGGCGGCCGCCUAAGUCAGACGUGAAAUCCCUCGGCUCAACCGGGGAACUGCGUCUGAUACUGGGUGGCUUGAAUCCGGGAGAGGGAUGCGGAAUUCCAGGUGUAGCGGUGAAAUGCGUAGAUAUCUGGAGGAACACCGGUGGCGAAGGCGGCAUCCUGGACCGGCAUUGACGCUGAGGCGCGAAAGCCAGGGGAGCAAACGGG